rnacentral:rRNA from 1 species
GAUGAACGCUGACAGAAUGCUUAACACAUGCAAGUCUUUGGCGAAUCUGUGCUUGCACAGGCUAGCCAAGGCGGACGGGUGAGUAACGCGUAAAGAACUUGCCCUGCAGACAGGGAUAACAGACGGAAACGACUGAUAACACCUGAUACAGUUGCCGGCACGCAUGUGCCUGGCAAUGAAAAGAGAUGCUGCAGGAGAGCUUUGCGUCCUAUUAGCUUGUUGGUGAGGUGACGGCUCACCAAGGCGAUGAUAGGUAGCCGGCCUGAGAGGGUGAACGGCCACAAGGGGACUGAGAUACGGCCCUUACUCCUACGGGAGGCAGCAGUGGGGAAUAUUGGACAAUGGGGGCAACCCUGAUCCAGCAAUUCUGUGUGCACGAAGAAGGUUUUCGGAUUGUAAAGUGCCUUCAGCAGGGAAGAAGAAAGUGACGGUACCUGCAGAAGAAGCGACGGCUAAAUACGUG